UACAGAGGGUGCAAGCGUUGUUCGGAAUCAUUGGGCGUAAAGCGCACGUAGGCGGCUUGCCAAGUCAGGUGUGGAAGCCUGGGGCUCAACCCCAGAAGUGCACUUGAAACUGGUGAGCUUGAGUCUUGGAGAGGGCAGUGGAAUUCCGAGUGUAGAGGUGAAAUUCGUAGAUAUUCGGAGGAACACCAGUGGCGAAGGCGACUGCCUGGACAAAGACUGACGCUGAGGUGCGAAAGCGUGGGGAGCAAACAGG
rnacentral:rRNA from 1 species